CAUUGUGCAGUAUAGGCAUCAGCCGUUUGCUCUUACUAUUGUUUGAAAUAGAUUCUUUUCAAUGAGAGGGGCACGGUCCUUUAUGUUUAGUGUGCUGCUGAGGCAAGGUCUGUGCAGUGCUAAUAGGGCAGCACAGCAGGAAAUGAGAGCCAUGUAGAGGCAGGAACAUAGAGCUCCUGAUGGCAGCUUAACCCAGGAAGGGCUCUCUGCUGCCACACCUGUAUCACAUCUGAUGCCUUAAUUUAGGGCAAGUGUCUUGGAGGUAAGUACACCUGAGAAAAAUUGGCUUUGUUGCUUUUAUGAGCCUACUAGAGGCUGCCAUCUUGGGCUAUGUAAUAUUUCAGCAUUAUAAUCAGCAUUACACAGGAACACUGAUGCUGUUGGAGACUGCACUGUUGAUGAGGCUUGUGUAACUGCAGUGUUUUGUCAGCUAAUCCAUAUCGCCAGCACUGAGACUGAGGCUGGAUCAUCACGUAUGUAUGUUUGCUGGUGCCUUCCAUAGUGGGGAGUGGUUUGUUGUCGUUUCUGUGACUUGCUGCCACAGGAAGCCAGAUGCACAGAACAGCACUUGCACUGCUCUUGAUUGAGCCUGAGCAACUGAAAGGGUGAAAGUUAGCUUAUGUUAUAGAAAAGGGGAUGGAAUAGGUGAAAGUUAGCUUAGUGGGUAGCUUAGGUUUGCAACGUGAAACUUUGUGCUGAAAAGACAGACAAGGAGAAAGUCUGGGGCAUGUAGUCCUUGUAAAAACAGUGGUAUACAGUA
rnacentral:lncRNA from 1 species